UACAGAGGUCCCAAGCGUUGUUCGGAUUCACUGGGCGUAAAGGGUGCGCAGGUGGGUUUGCAAGUUCGAUGUGAAAGCCCCGGGCUUAACCCGGGAAUGGCAUUGAAUACUGCAGAUCUGGAGGAUCGGAGGGGGGACUGGAAUUCUUGGUGUAGCAGUGAAAUGCGUAGAUAUCAAGAGGAACACCAGUGGCGAAGGCGAGUCCCUGGACGAUACCUGACACUGAGGCACGAAAGCUAGGGGAGCAAACAGGA
rnacentral:rRNA from 1 species